rnacentral:rRNA from 1 species
CUCCUACGGGAGGCAGCAGUGGGAAAUAUUGGACAAUGGGGGGAACCCUGAUCCAGCCAUGCCGCGUGUGUGAAGAAGGCCUUAUGGUUGUAAAGCACUUUAAGCGAGGAGGAGGCUACUGAGACUAAUACUCUUGGAUGGUGGACGUUACUCGCAGAAUAAGCACCGGCUAACUCUGUGCCAGCAGCCGCGGUAAUACAGAGGGUGCGAGCGUUAAUCGGAUUUACUGGGCGUAAAGCGUGCGUAGGCGGCUUUUUAAGUCGGAUGUGAAAUCCCCGAGCUUAACUUGGGAAUUGCAUUCGAUACUGGGAAGCUAGAGUAUGGGAGAGGAUGGUAGAAUUCCAGGUGUAGCGGUGAAAUGCGUAGAGAUCUGGAGGGAUACCGAUGGCGAAGGCAGCCAUCUGGCCUAAUACUGACGCUGAGGUACGAAAGCAUGGGGAGCAAACAGGAUUAGAUACCCUGGUAGUCCAUGCCGUAAACGAUGUCUACUAGCCGUUGGGGCCUUUGAGGCUUUAGUGGCGCAGCUAACGCGAUAAGUAGACCGCCUGGGGAGUACGGUCGCAAGACUAAAACUCAAAUGAAUUGACGGGGGCCCCCACAAGCGGUGGAGCAUGUGG